rnacentral:misc_RNA from 1 species
UGGUGCAGGAAGUAGAAUCAUUAUAACCAGUAGAGAUAAAGGUGUAUUUCAAGAUAGAGUUGAUGGAAUAUAUGAGGUUCAAGCACUAAUGGAGCAUGAAGCUCAUAGGCUUUUCAACUUAUUUGCCUUUAAACAAAAUCAUCCUAAGAGAGAAUAUUUGAAACUGUCAAGAGAAGUUGUAAGUUAUGCUGGAGGAAACCCUUUAGCUCUUAAAGUUUUGGGUUCAUUCCUAUAUGGCAAGAGCAAAAUAGAAUGGGAAAGUGCAUUGAAGAAACUUCAAAAGACUUCUAAUAUCAAAAUUCAAAAUGUGUUGAGAAUAAGUUUUGAUGGACUUGAUUUUGAGGAGUAGGAAAUAUUUCUUCACAUUGCUUGUUUCUUCAAAGGAGAACAUGUGUUUCACAUAGAACAACUGCUAGAUGCAUGUGGUUUCGCAACUCUAAUUAACUUGAGUGUGCUAAAUGAUAAAUCUUUGAUUAGCAUAUCUUAUGACAAAGUGGAGAUGCAUAAUCUAUUGCAAGAAAUGGGUCGAGAAAUUGUUCGCCAAGAAUGUAUUAAAGAGCCGGGAAAACGCAGUAGAUUGUGGAAUUAUGAAGAUAUAUACCAUGUGUUGACAAAAAAUACUGGAACUGAUGCAGUUGAAGGCAUAUUUCUGGACAAAUCAAAAUUAAAUAAGCUAAGUUUGGCUCCCUCAAUUUUCAGCAAUAUGAACAGAAUUAAACUGCUCAAAUUCUAUAAUUGUGGCAGUGGUCUAGAUGAUGCAUUGUACAUUCAAGACGUUGAAUUUCCUGAAAACAAUAUGCAGUUCCCUGAAGGCCUUGUAUCUUUUCCUGAUGAACUAAGGUAUCUCCAGUGGCAUUUUUAUCCUCUGAAAACUUUGCCAUCAAGCUUUCGUGCUGAGAUGCUUGUCAAGUUUAACAUGUCUGGUAGCCGUGUUGAAAGACUUUGGAACGGAGUGCAGGUUCUUGCAAAUUUAAAAGUAAUCAAGCUCCGUUAUUGUGAACACCUGAUUGAAAUGCCAGACUUCUCAGGGGCCCAAAAUCUGGAGACCAUAGACUGUGGAGGCUGCAUAAGUUUGCAGGAGGUUUCUCCAUCUAUUGGAUGUCUCAACAACCUUCAUACAUUGAAUUUGGCAAAUUGCGAGAAAAUUACAAGUGUUCCAAGCACCAAAUAUUUGAGAUCUUUCCUUUAUCUUGACCUCUAUAAUUGCUCAAAAAUCAACAAGUUCCCUGAAGUUCCAACAAGUAUAGAAUUUUUAAGUCUGAAAGGUACUGCAAUAGAAGAAGUACCAUUAUCAAUUGGAUUGCUCUCUCAACUCAGGUCAUUGAGUCUGCGUGACUGCAGAAGGCUAAAGAAUCUGCCAAAUGUUGUUUUCCAAUUGAAACAUCUUGACUUUCUUGGUAUAGCUGGUCCAUACAUCAAUAUAUGGGAACAUGUAAAUUAUCUUCAUCAUUUGUCCUCGUUACGUCGAUUAUCUCUAACGGGGAAUGAUUUCGAGAGCAUACCUUCAAGCAUCAAACAACUUUCAUGGCUUCAAAAACUCAACUUGAGCUUCUGCAAAAGGCUUCGAUUUUUGCCAGAGCUUCCGCCCCAUUUACAACGUUUAGAUGCAACGGGUUGCAUAUCACUGCGAACAGCUUCAAAUUCAAUGAUUGCUCUCAGAGAAGGAUGGGGAAGGUUCUUUUUCAUGAACUGCUUUAGUUUGGAUGAGAAUGAACAUGGAAACAUUUUGUUACAUGCACAACAGAGGACAUUACAUUUGGCACACACUGUAGUCCAAUUUCAUGAGGAAAUUGGAAAAAGCACUGAAUUUCUGCGAAAGCAGUUUGUAGUUGUUCUUCCUGGAAGUAAGAUUCCAAAGUGGAUUCAACAUCAGAGUACAGGUUUCUCGAUUGCAAUUCCGCUGCCUUCAAAUUGGCACAAGGAGUUGUUGGGUUUCACAUUCUGUGCUGUUUUUGAAUAUGGCAAAACCAAACUUGAUGAAGAAAGGUGGAUGAGAUUGGAAUGCCAAUUCAAAUCCAACUGUGGUGAAAGCUGUCACAUACCUGCAUGUUUCCACUAUUGGGAGAGGAAUGUGGUUCCUAAAAUGGAACACAUGUUCUUGUCCUAUAAUAGCGAUGUUAUUCUCAAAAUCAAAGACAAAGGAGAGAGCAUGUGCUGCUACAAUGAGUUAUUGAUUGAAUUUUUCAUUCAAGAUUCCUGUGAAAAGCCUUCACCUUCUUCCAAGGUUAACAAGUGUGGGGUCCGACUACUUUACAAUGAUGAUGGUGAUGAUGAGUGGGAUUACGUUUCCUCUUGGGAUCCAACCCAGUCCUCCUUAAGUAAAGAAGAUAGUGAUAUCUAUGAUAAGCCGAGUACUAAGAAUGUGGGUGAGUCCAGUGCUUUGUUGAGGAGGAAGAGCAAGCAUAUGAAACUUUUGCAUCUGACCAGGAUGAGGCUGAUCCCGGUGAAGCAUUUAGCUCUCUUGAGGAAGAAGAGGAACAAGAGGAAGAGAAUGGAACAUUUAGCUGUCACACGGAGGAAAAAGAACAACAAUAAAAUAAUGCAAAGUUGUCACUAACAAAUUUUCCAACUUCCCUUUUGGUAAUAUUAAUGGAAAACUCUUCUAAUAAUAUUUUUAUUAUAAUUAUGUAUAAUUAAUAAUGUUGAAUCAUUUAUAGAGUUAUGAGGCUAUAAAUUUUAACAUUAUUUUUUUACAAUUGUAUCCUCUUG